rnacentral:rRNA from 1 species
CACGGGGGGAGCGAACGUUGUUCGGAAUCACUGGGCGUAAAGGGCGUGUAGGCGGUUCGGUAAGUGGAAUGUGAAAUCCCCCGGCUUACCCGGGGAACUGCAUCCCAUACUGCUGGACUUGAGUGCGGGAGAGGAUGGAGGAAUUCCUGGUGUAGCGGUGAAAUGCGUAGAUAUCGGGAGGAACACCUGCGGUGUAGACGGCUUUCUGGACCAUUGUUGACGCUGAGACACGAAAGCGUGGGUAGCAAACAGG